UUUCUAUAGUUGUGGAUCUUGGCUGCUUUCCUGCUACCCACUAGGAUAAGCAAACUCUUCCAUAAAGGACAUGAUUACUUCUUACGUUAUUAAGAUGGUUGAUACUAGGGCAUCUGCUGAAGAUGCCCUACAUUUUAAUUGCCACAGUGAAUAGAAAGCCAGGCCUGGAGUCAGAAGACCUGAGUUCAAAUUUGGCUUCAGACACUUAUUAGCUGUGUUUCACUGGAGUCAUCAAAGUCCAGUGGCAAGACAAAAGUCAGGACAACUGGCAGUGGCCCAGGAUGCAAUGGAUGACCUUGAUGUCUUCAAUGUCUGACCAAGCUCCAAGCACUUCACAGCACUCGAUUUAAUCACCUUCAAGGCCGUCAAACCAAAUUGUUAUCAGGCAUCCCCCUAACUCACCAACAGUUUGAGGCCUGUCAGUUAUCCUCAACCUGGUUUAGCCUAUCUGCUGAGACAGUUUACUGCUGUGAAUGCUACAGCCUCUUGAAACCACAGGGAAGACUUAGGUGAGGGUGAACACCCACAGUGGAUGAGCAGCCCUGAAAAGGGCUCACCAAGCCCCUACACCAGGUGUGCUCCCUGAAUAGCCCAUGCACCCCUAACAGAAUAAUAGGAUGGAGGGAAAUAUACAGUUAUUGAUCAUAAUUGUGAACAUGAAUGGGUUAAACUCAUCUGUAAAAUGGAAAAGAAUAGUAGAAUGGAUUACAAAAUAGAAUUCAACAAUAUGUUGUUUACAAGAAACACAUUUGAAACAGAAAAGCAUACUCUGAACUAAAAUAGGAACUUGGAAGAGAAUCUAUUAUGCUUUAACUGAAAUGAAAAAGACGGGGAGCAAUCAUGAUCUCAGACACAGAAAAAGCAAAAAUAGACUUGAGUAAAAGAGAGAUGAGAAAACUAUAUUUUGAUAAGUGGUAUCAUAGACAAUGAAUUAAUAUCAAUCCUAAACAUGUAUAUGCCAAAAGACGUGGAAUCUAAACAUUAAAAGGAAAAGUUCAGUGAAAUAUAGGAGGAAAUGGACAGUGUAACUAUAAAUUGGGAAACCUCAAUUUAUCUCUCAUAAAUAUAACCAUAAAAUAAAUAAGAAAGAAGUAAUGAGAUGAAGAAAAUGUUAGAAAAGUUAGAUAUGAUAGACCUCUGGAGAAUAUUGAUUAAGAAUAGAAAGGAUUAUCGUUUUCCCAGCUGUGCAUGGCAUCUUCACAAAUAUUGGUCAUGUAUUAAGACAUAACCUCACAAAUGUCAUAAAUAAAAUUCCAAGAGAAAAAGUUUCUAGGUAUUAAUAAUCAAUUUAUUAACAAGGCUAGCUAAUAAUCACUAAAUUGAGGGUCAGUGAUUUCUCUCAGUAAUCAAAGACAAGAAAAGACAACUCUGAAACCCCUUAAAUCAAGUGUUCCUUCUGACAGUGAACUCUUGACAAAUGAACCACAGCCCUGUUUGGUGGACAGUUAAUGAGGAGAUGGGUUAGAAAAUCUUUGGCUUAUCCUGCUGAGAACAUGUCUUGAUCAUGAAGCUCGGCAGUUUACAGCAAUCUUGGCAGAAGUCAUUUCCAUCUGGACGUUUCUGGAUAGUUUUCUCCUUCAUGAGCCAGGUUACCCCAAAUUUUAAUAAAGGGGGUCACAUGAGCGGCUCUUGGUAAUUCUUGAUAGAAAGAACCACCCUAGUUUAGCUCCUGCCUUUGGCAUAAACAAAAGCCAGGCUCCCAAUCUAGUUAAAGAGCAGGUGCCCUGAGGGCUAGGAGUAAUCAUAACACUCAGUCAUGCAUUUCAGAAACUGACUGGCCUUUUCAGAAGUGGGGUCUUAACAAAAAUAGGAGGAAAAGGAUUAACUAUAAAU